rnacentral:rRNA from 1 species
GAGACCUUACCCGACUUAGCUGAGAGGUGGUGCAUGGCCGUCGUCAGUUCGUACUGUGAAGCAUCCUGUUAAGUCAGGCAACGAGCGAGACCCACGUCCACAGUUGCCAGCAUACCCUCCGGGGUGGAUGGGUACACUGUGGAGACCGCCGCUGCUAAAGCGGAGGAAGGAGUGGGCAACGGUAGGUCAGUAUGCCCCGAAUCUCCCGGGCUACACGCGGGCUACAAUGGUUGGUACAAUGGGCAUCUACCCCGAAAGGGGGAAGGAAAUCUCUUAAAGCCAAUCGUAGUUCGGAUUGAGGGCUGCAACUCGCCCUCAUGAAGCUGGAAUCCGUAGUAAUCGCGUUUCAACAGAACGCGGUGAAUACGUCCCUGCUCCUU